rnacentral:rRNA from 1 species
CGGAAUUAUUGGGCGGAAAGCGCGUGUAGGCGGCUUUGCAAGUCGGGUGUGAAAGCCCUCAGCUCAACUGAGGAAGUGCGCCCGAAACUGCAGAGCUUGAGUGCCGGAGAGGGUGGCGGAAUUCCCCAAGUAGAGGUGAAAUUCGUAGAUAUGGGGAGGAACACCGGUGGCGAAGGCGGCCACCUGGACGGUAACUGACGCUGAGACGCGAAAGCGUGGGGAGCAAACAGG